GUUUGAUCAUGGCUCAGGAUGAACACUGGCGUCGUGCUUAACACAUGCAAGUCGAGCGAAGCGCUUAAGUUUGAUUCUUCGGAUGAAGACUCUUGUGACUGAGCGGCGGACGGGUGAGUAACGCGUGGGUAACCUGCCUCAUACAGGGGGAUAACAGUUAGAAAUGACUGCUAAUACCGCAUAAGACCACAGUACUGCAUGGUACAGUGGUAAAAACUCCGGUGGUAUGAGAUGGACCCGCGUCUGAUUAGGUAGUUGGUGAGGUAACGGCCCACCAAGCCGACGAUCAGUAGCCGACCUGAGAGGGUGACCGGCCACAUUGGGACUGAGACACGGCCCAGACUCCUACGGGAGGCAGCAGUGGGGAAUAUUGCACAAUGGGCGAAAGCCUGAUGCAGCGACGCCGCGUGAAGGAUGAAGUAUUUCGGUAUGUAAACUUCUAUCAGCAGGGAAGAAAAUGACGGUACCUGACUAAGAAGCCCCGGCUAACUACGUGCCAGCAGCCGCGGUAAUACGUAGGGGGCAAGCGUUAUCCGGAUUUACUGGGUGUAAAGGGAGCGUAGACGGCUGUGCAAGUCUGAAGUGAAAGGCAUGGGCUCAACCUGUGGACUGCUUUGGAAACUGUGCAGCUAGAG
rnacentral:rRNA from 1 species